CCUACGGGAGGCAGCAGUGGGGAAUUUUGGACAAUGGGCGAAAGCCUGAUCCAGCAAUGCCGCGUGUGUGAAGAAGGCCUUCGGGUUGUAAAGCACUUUUUAGAGAGAUACGGUACCUGAAGAAUAAGCACCGGCUAACUACGUGCCAGCAGCCGCGGUAAUACGUAGGGUGCAAGCGUUAAUCGGAAUUACUGGGCGUAAAGCGUGCGCAGGCGGUUUGUUAAGACGGAUGUGAAAUCCCCGGGCUCAACCUGGGAACUGCAUUCGUGACUGGCAGGCUAGAGUAUGGCAGAGGGGGGUGGAAUUCCACGUGUAGCAGUGAAAUGCGUAGAGAUGUGGAGGAACACCGAUGGCGAAGGCAGCCCCCUGGGCCAAACUGACGCUCAUGCACGAAAGCGUGGGGAGCAAACAGGAUUAGAUACCCUUGUAGUC
rnacentral:rRNA from 1 species